CAGAGCGUGGCUGAGUUAGCCAAGCAUCUCCCUUACACCGAGAAGACAUCCGUGCAAAUCGGAUCGCCCUGA
rnacentral:tRNA from 1 species